UACGUAGGGUGCAAGCGUUGUCCGGAAUUAUUGGGCGUAAAGAGCUUGUAGGCGGUCUGUCGCGUCUGCUGUGAAAAUCCGGGGCUCAACCCCGGACUUGCAGUGGGUACGGGCAGACUAGAGUGUGGUAGGGGAGACUGGAAUUCCUGGUGUAGCGGUGAAAUGCGCAGAUAUCAGGAGGAACACCGAUGGCGAAGGCAGGUCUCUGGGCCACGACUGACGCUGAGAAGCGAAAGCAUGGGGAGCGAACAGG
rnacentral:rRNA from 1 species